rnacentral:rRNA from 1 species
UGAGGGAAAGGCGAAAAGAACCCCGGCGAGGGGAGUGAAAAAGAACCUGAAACCGUGUACGUACAAGCAGUGGGAGCCCCACCACCAAAGCAUUCUCUGGUGUUGAAGGCCCUGCAAAGCAGCAUCGCGGUGGCGGAGCGUCGUUUGCGACGCCCAACACACAAAACAAGCGGUGAAUGCUUUGGGGUGGGGUGACUGCGUACCUUUUGUAUAAUGGGUCAGCGACUUAUAUUCUGUAGCAAGGUUAACCGAAUAGGGGAGCCGGAGGGAAACCGAGUCUUAAUUGGGCGUUAAGUUGCAGGGUAUAGACCCGAAACCCGGUGAUCUAGCCAUGGGCAGGUUGAAGGUUGGGUAACACUAACUGGAGGACCGAACCGACUAAUGUUGAAAAAUUAGCGGAUGACCUGUGGCUGGGGGUGAAAGGCCAAUCAAACCGGGAGAUAGCUGGUUCUCCCCGAAAGCUAUUUAGGUAGCGCCUCGUGAAUUCAUCUCCGGGGGUAGAGCACUGUUUCGGCUAGGGGGCCAUCCCGGCUUACCAACCCGAUGCAAACUGCGAAUACCGGAGAAUGUUAUCACGGGAGACACACGGCGGGUGCUAACGUCCGUCGUGAAGAGGGAAACAACCCAGACCGCCAGCUAAGGUCCCAAAGUCAUGGUUAAGUGGGAAACGAUGUGGGAAGGCCCAGACAGCCAGGAUGUUGGCUUAGAAGCAGCCAUCAUUUAAAGAAAGCGUAAUAGCUCACUGGUCGAGUCGGCCUGCGCGGAAGAUGUAACGGGGCUAAACCAUGCACCGAAGCUGCGGCAGCGACGCUGAUGCGUUGUUGGGUAGGGGAGCGUUCUGUAAGCCUGUGAAGGUGUGUCGUGAGGCAUGCUGGAGGUAUCAGAAGUGCGAAUGCUGACAUAAGUAACGAUAAAGCGGGUGAAAAGCCCGCUCGCCGGAAGACCA